UACGAAGGGGGGCUAGCGUUGCUCGGAAUCACUGGGCGUAAAGGGUGCGUAGGCGGGUUUUUAAGUCAGGGGUGAAAUCCUGGAGCUCAACUCCAGAACUGCCUUUGAUACUGAAGAUCUUGAGUAUGGGAGAGGUGAGUGGAACUGCGAGUGUAGAGGUGAAAUUCGUAGAUAUUCGCAAGAACACCAGUGGCGAAGGCGGCUCACUGGCCCAUUACUGACGCUGAGGCACGAAAGCGUGGGGAGCAAACAGGG
rnacentral:rRNA from 1 species